UAUCUGAUCAAUUUGGAAGAUUGGAUCUUGAAUUAGGUCACUUAGCGAUUGGGUUUAGCCCAUGCCAGUUAGAUUAAUCAUAUGAUGACUGAUUAGAUGAGAUCUAAAUCCAAACCUCUCCAUAAAUAUUAAGUCCAUAGGUCUUCCACCAUUGUAGAUGUGCAGGUGUGCUACCGACGUUGAUUGUUCUCGACUGGUUACAGUAGUUCAGUUGCAUCGGGAACAUGCAAUCACUCUAUUAGUAAAGAGUUGCUCCAGGGUAAGGAUGAGGUUGAGCACAAUAACUAUUAGGUAAGGGACCCAAUGACGGC
rnacentral:lncRNA from 1 species